UUUGGCUCAGGAUGAACGCUGGCGGCGCACAUAAGACAUGCAAGUCGAACGGACUUAAUUCGUUAGUUUACUAAUGGAAGCGGUUAGUGGCGGACUGGUGAGUAACGCGUAAGCAACCUGCCUAUUAGUAGGGAAUAACAGUGAGAAAUCAUUGCUAAUACCGUAUAAGCUGGAAACAUCGCAUGAUGUAGUCAGAAAAGGAGCAAUUCGCUAAUAGAUGGGCUUGCGUCUGAUUAGUUAGUUGGUGGGGUAACGGCCUACCAAGACGAUGAUCAGUAGCCGGACUGAGAGGUUAAACGGCCACAUUGGGACUGAGAUACGGCCCAGACUCCUACGGGAGGCAGCAGUGGGGAAUA
rnacentral:rRNA from 1 species